GGGUCGGUAGCUCAGCGGCAGAGCCAGUACCUGUUAAGUACUCGCGCGCGGGUUCGAGUCCCGCCCGUCCCU
rnacentral:tRNA from 2 species